GGUCGGUCCCUACUGGCCCCCAGCCUUGCCCUGGCCACGGGCCUUUGGUUGAUGGUUCUGUCUCCAAAGAGCUCCAUCCAGGUGUAAUGCCUGGUUUUGACUUCCUUUGCCCUGCCUUGUCCUCAUGGGCUGCCUUGUGUUUUGGAGGAUUGGCUGAACCAGCUGCUGUCCUUGGACCUUUCCUGCUCCUUGCUCAGGUACCUUGGGGCUGGAUCCCCUUCACAGAGGUUGUUCAAGACAAAGUACGGAAGGGGGCAAUACAAUAUUCAAGGCAGUGAAUCUGAAAGUGGCAAUUCAAAGCUGACAGCUCUCUCUUGGAAGGAAGAUUAUAUGGCACAUCCUGUGCUGGGCCAAGUCCCUGAGAAGGAUGCAGCCACUCAACAGGCUUUGUCCUUAUUUUUUGGCAGAAUUGGACUGCCCUACUCAAAAGCAUAAACAAGCCUCAGCCUAUCAACAACAUAAAUGGGACACCAGCCUGCCAAAUACAGGGAAAUGAAUAAAUGGAAGAACAAUAAAAGUCA